rnacentral:rRNA from 1 species
UACAGAGGGUGCAAGCGUUAAUCGGGAUUACUGGGCGUAAAGCGUGCGCAGGCGGUCUGUUAAGACCGAUGUGAAAUCCCCGGGCUUAACCUGGGAACUGCAUUGGUGACUGGCAGGCUUUGAGUGUGGCAGAGGGAGGUAGAAUUCCACGCGUAGCAGUGAAAUGCGUAGAGAUGUGGAGGAAUACCGAUGGCGAAGGCAGCCUCCUGGGCCAACACUGACGCUCAUGCACGAAAGCGUGGGGAGCAAACAGG